rnacentral:rRNA from 1 species
UACGUAGGGACCAAGCGUUGUUCGGAUUUACUGGGCGUAAAGGGCGCGUAGGCGGCGCGGUAAGUCACUUGUGAAAUCUCUGAGCUUAACUCAGAACGGCCAAGUGAUACUGCAGUGCCAGAGUGUGGAAGGGGCAAUCGGAAUUCUUGGUGUAGCGGUGAAAUGCGUAGAUAUCAAGAGGAACACCUGAGGUGAAGACGGGUUGCUGGGCCAACACUGACGCUGAGGCGCGAAAGCCAGGGGAGCAAACGGG